AUCGCUUCUCAGCCUUUUGGCUAAGAUCAAGUGUAGUAUCUGUUCUUAUCAGUUUAAAUUAUGUGCAAAAGAGUUACACAUAAGAGAGAAAGGUGAGAGAAGCUAGAAUACCACACCAGCACAAACUAUACCAGGGACUGAACCAGAAACUUCAGGUAUUUAAAUUUUGAGUUCUACCUAUU
rfam:Erinaceus europaeus unplaced genomic scaffold scaffold00757, whole genome shotgun sequence